rnacentral:rRNA from 1 species
CACGUAGGGCGCAAGCGUUGUCCGGAAUUAUUGGGCGUAAAGAGCUCGUAGGCGGUCUGUGCGUCCGCUGUGAAAACUCGGGGCUUAACCCCGAGCCUGCAGUGGAUACGGGCAGACUAGAGGUAGGUAGGGGAGAAUGGAAUUCCCGGUGUAGCGGUGAAAUGCGCAGAUAUCAGGAGGAACACCGGUGGUGUAGACGGCUUCUGGACCGUAACUGACGCUGAGACACGAAAGCGUGGGUAGCAAACAGG